UGCAUUGGAUUGAGACACGUACAAACCUUAUCGAUAAACAAUUGGAGGGCAAGUCUGGUGCCAGCAGCCGCGGUAAUUCCAGCUCCAAUAGCGUAUAUUAACGUUGUUGCAGUUAAAAAGCUCGUAGUUGAAAUGAAGGGUAGUUGUGUAAUGAAUACAUUCGUGUAUUUUGUUAUUCUACUACCCUCCUUCUAAAUUCGAUAUAUGAGUAUUAAUUUACUUGUAUAUGGUUUUAGACCUUUACUGUGAGAAAAUUAGAGUGUUCAAAGCAGGCAUUUGCUUGAAUAUAUUAGCAUGGAAUAAUCAUGUAUGAUUUUCAUGAUGUAUUUGAUUGGUUUGGUUCAUGAGAAUAAGAUUAAAAGGGACAGUUGGGGGUAUUCAUAUUCAAUAGUCAGAGGUGAAAUUCUCGGAUUUAUGGAAGAUGAACAAGUGCGAACG
rnacentral:rRNA from 1 species